GUGAACGCUGGCGGUAGGCCUAACACAUGCAAGUCGAACGGCAGCACAGUAAGAUCUUGCUCUUACGGGUGGCGAGUGGCGGACGGGUGAGGAAUACAUCGGAAUCUACUUUUUCGUGGGGGAUAACGGAGGGACACUUACGCUAAUACCGCAUACGACCUACGGGUGAAAGCAGGGGAUCUUCGGACCUUGCGCGAUUGAAUGAGCCGAUGUCGGAUUAGCUAGUUGGCGGGGUAAAGGCCCACCAAGGCGACGAUCCGUAGCUGGUCUGAGAGGAUGAUCAGCCACACUGGAACUGAGACACGGUCCAGACUCCUACGGGAGGCAGCAGUGGGGAAUAUUGGACAAUGGGCGCAAGCCUGAUCCAGCCAUACCGCGUGGGUGAAGAAGGCCUUCGGGUUGUAAAGCCCUUCUGUUGGGAAAGAAAAGCAGCAGGUGAAUACCCCGCUGUUCUGACGGUACCCAAAGAAUAAGCACCGGCUAACUUCGUG
rnacentral:rRNA from 1 species